GGCUGCGACUGUCGCUGUGGUCAGGUGCUUCCCGAGUGUACAGGAGCCCCCUGGGUUUGAAUCCCAGCAUUGCAGAAGCCGACAUGAAAACUUGCAGCGCUGUCGGGUUUAAACACGGUGGCAGACUGUAUUCCCCCAAGCUGCAGACCGCCUUUAGCGAUUCUUAACAUAGUCCGUGGAAUUACAACAUCAAAGAGUCAUGAGCCAAAUGUUCUUCGACAGGAAACUGGAAUGUCUCUGACCAAAAGUGCUGACUAAGAAGGCAUCCUGAGCUUCUCUAUCUGCCUGGAAGAAAAUCUCCAGGGGUCAUCUCUGCUGUGCUGCCCAGACAAAGUACCAGGCUGGCCUUCCUGUGUGUUGCUGCUGGCCAAAGGGUCAGCUCCCUUACCAUCUCGGCCCACUCCCUUCCUCUUCUUCCUGGCUUCUGCCUCUGUCCAUAGGGUUUGAACCAUUCUCUCUCUCUCUCUCUCUCUCUCUCUCUCUCUCUCUCUCUCUCCCCACACUGUUCCUCUGUUCACUGUAACAGUGGCCUUCUGGCCUUCUGGCUGGUGUGUUUUCUCUUCGAAGCCUGGGGUGGGCAGUCCUCAGCCUGUGUGUAGGUCUUCCGGUCUCCUUCAGAUCACCAUGACACAAGACUAUGCCAUGCUUUCUCAUCACAAGGAGAUUCUUACAGUGCCCUGGUUGGUGUGUUUGGCUGCUUUCUGUCUACCCCAGCCAAAUGGCAUGGGGUGGGGGCCUGACUGUAGUUCCACUGUGAACCAGUGUUAGAAUCCCAUGUUCCUGCUUAGCUGCUUGAGGCCCGGAUUGGCGGCUCCUGCUUGAAUGGGAACCCUGCAGACCCCAGAAUCUGGGGGCACGUCUCCCCGCCCCCUUUUUUAUCUUUACAAUAGUCCUGGAAGCAAAAUAUCUUUUUUUAUUCCAGAUGGGAAACAUGAAACAUGAAAAGAUUAAAUAAGAUACCCAAAGUCGUUUGUAAAAACAACGAAAACCUGAGGUUAAAGAACUGGCUGAACUUGAGGGUUCACACUGUUCAUGGUAGGGCCCGAUUAUUGCCCCUCAAACUUCCGAGCCUGCAUUUAAAAGUGGAAGCUAUGCCGGCAUCAAGAGAAGGCUGACUUCUCUUGAGAUCUCAGCCAAGGACAGGGUGCAUUCCCUAUCACACAUUUGCUUGGUGCCCUGUCUGGCCAGCGCCUGAGUGUCCCGCUCACUUUACCUAGUAACCCAUCCCCUCCCCCCCCUCCCGCCCCGUGUGUGUUUGUUUUGAAUCUGAGCAUUGAAUGUGGAGCCUAAUGUCCCACCAACCCACAUUUAAGCUCUGCUCCUUUAAUCUUCAGUUUCUGGGUCCCAGUUGUAUGAUUGUGGCCAACCUCUCUUCCCUCCCCUCCUUCCUUCCUUCCUUAUUUAUUUAUUUGUAGUCCUGGCUGUCCCGGAACUCGCUCUGUAGACGAGGCUCCCCUCUAACUCACAAGGAUCCACCUGCCUGUGAUUUCCGGGUGCUGGGGUUAACUGCAUGCACCGCCACCGUCUGACUCCCCCACCACCACCUAUCUUCCCCUCUAUGCGUGCACCACCACCGCCUGGCUCCCCCUCUACGUGUGCACCACAACCUCCUGGAUCCCCCUGUACACAUGCACCACCACCGCCUGGCUCCCCCUGUACACAUGCACCACCACCGCCUGGCUUCCCCUGUACACGUGCACCACCACCGCCUGGCUCCCCCUGUACACGUGCACCACCACCACCUGGCUCCCCCUGUACACGUGCACCACCACUGCCUGGCUCCUCCUCUAGAUUUUUAGAAAAAUGGAGAGUGCAUUACUGUCCCCUUGCUAAGCAGUGACACCCCAGUGUCUUGCUCAUCUCUCACUAUGACUUCAGCCUCAUUUUUAAUGUGAAGGGGAGGAAAUCUGGACCAGGCCGUGUUCCCUUCUGAACUUUGCCAUGUCCUGGGGCUGACCUUUCGGUAUUGCUUUAUUUCCUACUGUGUGGUUUGGGGAGAUUCUGCUAGAAGGCCAGUUAGAGACUGUGGUGGUCAAAUUAGCCAGCCAUGCAGAAGACAUCCGGAGAGAGUGCCAGAUAGCCAAACUACAACUGCAGGGCGCCUUUGGUGAAGGCUUUGGUCAGAGAGACUGUCACCCAGGAUUUGUGUCUUACUGCGUAGCCCAGGUCAGCCUCAAACUCUCCACCUCAUCACUUCUGUUUCCUGUGGGCUGGGGUUGGAGGUGGCCACAAUCACAGUCAGCUCUGGUGAAAAAUACAUUUUUAUUAUUUUGAGACAGAGUCUCAUUGUGCAUCUGACUAGCCUUUUACUAGUCGAUCAGGCUGGCCUGGAACUCAGAGAUACACCUGCCUCUGCCUCCUGAGUGCUGGGCAGGAAAGACUGAUAACAAUUUGAGCACUCUGUUAGCACCUAGAAGUUAAAAAAGUUUUGAGUCUAUGAGAUGGCCCAGUCUGAGUCUGAUCCCCAGACCCACACACAAGGUGGAGAGAGAGAACCAGCCCUUUCAGGUUGUCCUUUGCCUGCAC